GCGCCUGUAGCUCAGCGGAUAGAGCGUCUGUUUCCUAAGCAGAAAGUCGCAGGUUCGAUCCCUGCCUGGCGCG
rfam:Selaginella moellendorffii unplaced genomic scaffold SELMOscaffold_16, whole genome shotgun sequence.